AGAGAAUCACUUGAACCCGGGAGGCGGAGGUUGCAGUGAGCCGAGACUGUGUCACUGCACUCCAGCCUGGGUGACAGAG
rnacentral:snRNA from 1 species